rnacentral:lncRNA from 1 species
CAUGAUGCAUUAUGGCUCAUAAAUAGGACUUGUAAGUCUCGGUGUGACGAUACCAACUCAGAUAAUGCCAUGUUAAUUCAAAAGAGAAUAGAAUGCAUGUUUGAAAUCAGAUUUUCAUAUUUUGAAAUUAGAAUGGUGCAUGUUUCAGAAUAGAAUAAAAUUAGGCAUAAAGAGAGCUUAGGUGGUUCCUCAAAGAAGGCACGAGUUAAUACAACUCAUUGCCCAAAAUUGUGAUUUGUCG